rnacentral:ncRNA from 1 species
UAGGAAACUGUGAUGAAGAAAGUAGAUAUAAGAUUUUUUUCAGGGAGAAAAGGUCGCUGACUGAAAGCCUUUUUAUUAAUUUUUAUGUUGAAGUUCACUUCGGAGUUUUGACGGUGAAACUAAGUAGUCGUCAGUGGGUAAAACCAUUAAAUUUAUCUAAGAGGACAUUUUAUGUCAAUUAGGGUGGUACCGCGGAAUACAUCCGUCCCUUUU